rnacentral:rRNA from 1 species
GAUGAACGCUGGCGGCGUGCCUAAUACAUGCAAGUCGAGCGAACAGAUAAGGAGCUUGCUCCUUUGACGUUAGCGGCGGACGGGUGAGUAACACGUGGGUAACCUACCUAUAAGACUGGAAUAACUCCGGGAAACCGGGGCUAAUGCCGGAUAACAUUUAGAACCGCAUGGUUCUAAAGUGAAAGAUGGUUUUGCUAUCACUUAUAGAUGGACCCGCGCCGUAUUAGCUAGUUGGUAAGGUAACGGCUUACCAAGGCAACGAUACGUAGCCGACCUGAGAGGGUGAUAGGCCACACUGGAGCUGCGCCACGGUCCAGACUCCUACGGGAGGCAGCAGUAGGGAAUCUUCCGCAAUGGGCGAAAGCAUGACGGAGAAACGCCGCGUGAGUGAUGAAGGUCUUCGGAUCGUAAAACUAUGUUAUUAGGGAAGACCAAAUGUGUAAGUAACUGUGAACGUCUUGACGGUACCUAAUCAGAAAGCCACGGCUAACUACGUG